ACGAAGCUACGACAACAUGCCGACUUAUCCCGAUGACCUAAGUGUAUUAUUUGUUUGGGAAAUUGCGUCAAAACUUUUUACUCAAGAAAUGACCAGACUGGAACCUCCAUAGGUGUGUUUGCUUGUUUUGAGUGGGGAUGGAAGAAAAGGAGUCAUGCCGCAUAUCUGAUUUAUUUAUUGUUCUGUUUAUACAUGAGUAGAACUACCUUGUUCUCUGAAAAAAAUAAAAUUUCUUGCAUUUU